AGGUGUGGGUGUCUGUGAAGCCCAACCUCACGUUGAAUAUAUGGGCCAGCCUCUUGGCCCGACCCGGCACUAAAUAGAAGGCCCGAUGGUCCAAUCCCAUUGUCCAAACAGGGCAAGCCCUGCUCGAACACAAAGGAAGGAGGAUGAGUCCUCCUCCUCCUCCUCCUCCAACUUUGCCGGAGGCUAAGAAAGCCUAGCCUCUAUUCCUAUUUAAAGGCCCCAACCCCAGUUCUUCCUCACUAGAAAAUUGCCAUAGCCUACCGCGCUUUUCGCUCUCUUCCCCUAUUGGAAAACCGUGAAUCAGGCUCACUGUGCUCGCUGAAGAUUGCAGCCGAGCCCUCGUCGGAACCAAGAUCCUGAAUCAUGAUCGCUCGAAACUUGAAGGAGAGCGCUAAAUUGCUUGAAGAUGCUUGAGUCAUCUAGACUUUAAAUUUUUUGGAUAUUUUAUUUUGUUUGAACAAUAAUAAUUCGUUGGAACAUCAUGCCUCUUGGUACUUUGGGAAAUUUGCUUGUGAGAAUGAUUUGAUUGAAUCUUUAUUAAAUUGAUUUUAUGAGGAUCGAAAAAUUAAUAUUAUUGCUCUUUGAUCGAUAGCCUUGAAUGCUUAUGAUCCGUCUUGCAGAUAUGCGGCAUCUGUUAUGCACCGGAUUCGAGGCGUGACGCUAUCAUAGUAGGCAACGCUUUAGGGAGUUCAACUAGAUCUUUCGUAUAAAAACUUUUUGUUUUAUUAAUCACAUGUUCUAACUUUUUUAAAUGAUGUUCAUCGAUCUAGUGCAUAAGACUCCUACAAUCGAAUGAUCUAGGGAGGGUUUGAUAUAUACAGUCUUACCUCCACGUAUGAAGAGACUUUUUUGUACUUCAAACCCAUGAUCUCCAAGCCAUAAUGGAGCUUCCCCGCCAUCAUCCGAAGAUUCAUCCCCUUGAUUAUUUUCCAGGUGCAAAACAAGGAGAAGGAUAGAAUUAUGAAGUUUGAAGACCCCCCAAACACGGCAUAAAGUGCAAGAUUUUAAGCCAUGGCUGGGCAUUUAUCUAUAUUACCAGCAUGACUACAUGGUUUGUAUUUUAUCGUAACUCAUUCUGAACUCUUUUAUCAUUCUACGAACAAGGUAAAAUGAUGAUUAAAAAAAUAUGCAUAUUGUAAGAUAUUUUGCAUGGCUCGUAUGUGAUUGGCAGCGGGUUGACAAAGAAAAUGGACAAGAAGACUACAAGACUGUCUAGGAUAGCUAUUUCAGUCACAUUUCCAAAGGUGCCGGACCCUCAUUGCCAUUAUCUUCUCACAUGUAAGCCCUUAUUAUUAUUUUUAAACAACAAUUUGCAACCAGAGUGUUGCUUGAAUUGGAGGAAAUCAAGUUUUGAUACAUUUUUCAUAUCAUAAUGAACUUAUAUAAAUGCAA